rnacentral:rRNA from 1 species
AUACGUAGGUGGCAAGCGUUGUCCGGAAUUAUUGGGCGUAAAGCGCGCGCAGGUGGUUCCUUAAGUCUGAUGUGAAAGCCCCCGGCUCAACCGGGGAGGGUCAUUGGAAACUGGGGAACUUGAGUGCAGAAGAGGAUAGUGGAAUUCCAAGUGUAGCGGUGAAAUGCGUAGGGAUUUGGAGGAACACCAGUGGCGAAGGCGGCUUUCUGGUCUGUAACUGACACGGAGGCCCGAAAGCGUGGGGAGCAAACAGGAUUAGAUACCCUGGUAGUCCACGCCGUAAACGAUGAGUGCUAAGUGUUGGGGGGUUUCCGCCCCUCAGUGCUGCAGCUAACGCAUUAAGCACUCCGCCUGGGGAGUACGGUCGCAAGACUGAAACUCAAAUGAAUUGACGGGG